UACGUAGGGUGCAAGCGUUAAUCGGAAUUACUGGGCGUAAAGCGUGCGCAGGCGGUUUUGUAAGUCUGAUGUGAAAUCCCCUGGCUCAACCUGGGAAUUGCAUUGGAGACUGCAAGGCUAGAAUCUGGCAGAGGGGGGUAGAAUUCCACGUGUAGCAGUGAAAUGCGUAGAGAUGUGGAGGAACACCGAUGGCGAAGGCAGCCCCCUGGGUCAAGAUUGACGCUCAUGCACGAAAGCGUGGGGAGCAAACAGG
rnacentral:rRNA from 1 species